rnacentral:tRNA from 1 species
GGGGGUAUAGCUCAGUUGGGAGAGCGCUGCCUUUGCAAGGCAGAUGUCGUCGGUUCAAGUCCGUCUACCUCCAC